CUCCGCUUCUCCCCCUCCCUCCUUCCCUCCUCUCCCCUCCCGAGGGGAAGACACGAGAGAGAAUCCAACAAAUUUCCGAGUUUACCACCUUCUUCUUCCCUCUUCCGCCAUUGAUUCUGCAUCGGGAAAGAAGCAAUAUGUCGUCUCUCUACCUCGUGCAUUGCUCGUCUCCCCUUUGCAACGCCUCGUCUCGGAAGGGAUCCUCUGGGAGUUCGCAUAGGCAUAUCUUCCAUAGGAAGCUCCGGUUCUUCCUCCCUCUCCAGGGCCCGGAGCGGAAACCGUGCUGGAGCCCGUCUUUCGUCGUUCGUAGUGCUGCCGAUGUUUCGUCCGGCAGAAGGGAAAUGAGGACACCAUCACAUCGGGAGCAUGGAAAAGUGGUUCUUCACGUCUUGUUAGCUUAUCAAGUGAAAUUUGGUGAACAUAUUGCUAUCUUGGGUUCCUCUGAAGAGCUUGGCGUUUGGAAAAACCCGGUCAAAUUAUCAUGGACGACAGAUGGUUGGGUGUCUGAUUUGGAAUUAAAAGGUGGUGAGACUGUUGAGUAUAAAUUUGUGACUGUAACUAGCCAGAACAAGAUAAAGUGGGAAGCGGGUUGCAACAGAGUUUUGAAAUUACCAAUGGAGGGAGAGUAUAAAAUGAUUUGUCACUGGAACGUGACAAAAGAGGCUGUCAGUUUAAUUGCACUGUCAGAUGUAGUUACUUUACCUCAAGAAGAAUUUACACAGGAGGCGGUGGCAAGUAGUAAUGGGUCUAUGGUUGAUGCCCCUGUUUCAGUCAACGAGCCUAGCUCUUUUGUCCAAGAAUGGCAGGGGAAUGAUGUACAAUUUAUGAGUUCUAAUCAACACUCUGCAAGAGAAACUGAAAGGAGAUGGAACACUGAUGGGUUACUGGGUGUGGCACUGAAAUUAGUUGAAGGUGACAAGGUUUCAAGGAACUGGAGGCGAAAGCUGGAAGUUGUGCGCGAGCUCUUGGUGGGAGACUCGAAGAGGAGUGAUCGGCUCGAAGCUAUCAUCUAUUCUGCCAUAUAUCUGAAGUGGAUUAAUACAGGUCAAAUACCUUGCUUUGAAGAUGGGGGCCAUCAUCGGCCAAAUAGGCAUGCUGAAAUUUCAAGGCUCAUUUUUCGUGAAUUGGAGAGAUUCACCUAUGCAAAAGAUACAACACCAGAGGAGAUGCUUCUUAUCCGCAAGGUUCAUUCUUGUUUACCUUCAUUCAAGUCAGAAUUCACUGCAUCUGUCCCGCUGACUCGCAUUAGAGAUAUCGCACAUAGAAAUGAUAUACCUCACAGUCUUAAGCAAGAGAUCAAACAUACAAUACAGAACAAACUCCACCGAAAUGCCGGUCCUGAAGAUUUGAUUGCCACAGAAGCUAUGCUUGCUAGAAUAACAAAGACGCCAGGAGAAUACAGUGAAGGUUUCAUAGAACAGUUUAAGAUAUUCCAUCGUGAGCUCAAAGACUUCUUCAAUGCUGGAAGCCUUGCUGAACAGCUCGAAUCAAUCCAACCAUCGCUGGAUGGGCAAUCUUUAAAAGCUCUUACAGUUUUCUUGGAGUCAAAGAAGAAUCUUGACAUAUUUGAUGAGUCUGGUGACACUUUGAAAGAUAAUGUGGAUCUGCUGAUGCAAACCCUACAUUCUUUAACAGAACUAAGAAUGGUGCUUUUCAAAGGUCUGGAAAGUGGUCUCAGGAAUGAUGCAUCUGACACAGCAAUAGCAAUGCGUCAACAGUGGCGGCUUUGUGAGAUCAACCUUGAGGAUUAUUCUUUUGUUCUUUUGAGCAGAUUGCUCAAUGCUCUUGAGACUGUGGGUGGUUCAUCUUUGCUUGCUCAAAAUGUGGACUUGAAGAAUGUGGGUUCUUGGAACUAUCCUCUGGAGGCUCUUAUGAUCGGGAUACACCAAAUUGGGCUCUCAGGUUGGCAGCCAAGGGAGUGUAGAGCAAUUGAGGAUGAGCUGUUGGCCUGGAAAGAAAAAGGUCUAUCAGAAAGUGAAGGUAAUGAAGAUGGUAAGAAAAUUUGGGCUUUGAGGAUCAAGGCCACUCUUGAUAGAGCAAGGAGGCUGACUGAGUCUUACACAGAGAUCCUUCUUCAACUUUUACCUGACAAAGUCCAGAAACUGGGAAAUGCUCUAGGGAUUCCUGAGGACAGCAUAAAAACAUAUACUGAAGCUGAAAUUCGAGCAGGUGUUAUUUUCCAGGUCUCAAAAAUGUGCUCUUUUCUUCUGAAAGCACUAAGAAUGACAUUGGGAACCCAAGGUUGGGAUGUUUUAGUUGCAGGAACAGCUGUCGGGACCCUUGUUCAGGUCGACAGUAUUGGUCCUGGUUGCUUGCCAGCUUCCAUCAGUGGUCCUGUUAUUCUUCUUGUCAAUAGAGCUGAUGGUGAUGAAGAGGUAAAGGCUGCUGGGGGCAAUAUUGCUGGAGUUGUACUUCUGCAGGAGCUGCCACAUCUGUCACAUUUAGGUGUUAGGGCACGACAAGAAAAAGUGGUAUUUGUAAGUUGUGAAGAUGAAGAAAAAGUUGCGGGGCUUCGAGGUCUUAUGGGAAGACCUGUCAGAUUGGAAGCCUCAUCUAGUGGCGUUGACGUAUCAGCGUGUAGUAUAUCUGAGGCGACCAGCUCUACGGUUAAUUUGACAGCUGAUGAAAAGCCAUCUCGAGUUGAGCCUUUUUCGCUGUCUCAUGUGCACACUCCAAGACAGGCAUUUCAUGAUGAAGUUGUGGACCUAACAAAUGCAACCCCAGCCACGUCGGGGGCAAAGGCAGCUGCUUGUGGCCAUCUCAUGUCCUUAGCAGCAGAUUCUGCAAAUGCACCGCCGCCGACACUGUUCCCAGCGCCGCUGCCGUCGUUGUUUCUACUGCUGUCGCCGACCAGGAACGCUGCCGCCGUCCGACACCGCCGUCGUCAUCGUUCCCAGCGCCGUUCUGCCCUGCCCUGCUGCCGUCGCCGCUCCCAGCGUCGCCGUCGUUAUCAGCGCCGCCCUGCCCUGCUGCCGUCACAGGUCCCAGCGCCGCCGUCGACUGGUUUUUUUCUUCUCCGCUGCCCUCUUCUUCCGCGUCGCCGCCGGCUAUCUUGUUUUCGCCGCCGGCCAGUUGUGACCUUAUUUGGGGAUUGCCAUGGCUGACGCAGUGAUUUCCAAGCUUGAUGAUGCCCUGGACACGGGCAGCAAUACCAAGGGUGAGAACUUGCCUGUUCAUGUCACCUCCAUUCGGCUGAACAAGGAUAACUAUCUCUCGUGGUCUGCUGCCCUAGAAAUCGGCAUUACUAGUCGUGGUCGCCUGCACUAUAUCACUGGGGAGAAGCCUCCACAUUCUAAAACUGAUUCGCAAUGGCCGACCUGGGCUUUGGAAGAUAGUCAGGUUAAAGUAUGGAUUAUUAGUUCGGUUUCCGCAGAUAUUCAGCCUUUGAUCUUGCGUAAAUCGACUGCAUAUGAUAUGUGGACUGUUCUUGCACGUAUGUAUGGUCGUAAAAAACGUGUUUUACGUGCAUAUCAAAUCAAACGUAGCAUAUAUGCUCUUAAACAGGGUGAUUUAUCUGUUGCCUCCUUCUAUGCCGCCCUGAAGACCAAAUGGGAGGAACUUGACUAUCAUGUGAAUGAUGACUGGAAAUGUGGUGUAGAUCAUGCCCUGUAUUGGGAAAAGGAAUGGAUGGACCGCACCUUUAUCUUCCUUGGAGGCCUGCGUGAUGAGUUUGAAACCAUUCGGAGCCAGAUUCUUAACUGUGAUGAGAUUCCUGGAAUCGAAGAGGUAUAUGCUCGUAUUGAGUCUGAGGAGCAACGGCGCCAGAUUAUGCAUAUUGACUCCCAUCAGGGGAGCUCUCCAGCAGCCUUUGUGAGCCAUACUUCAGGGACAGGGCAGCGUCCUACUCGCCGAUGCAGCCAUUGCAACAAAGUGGGUCAUUCUGUUGAUUUUUGUUGGGACCUUCAUCCUGAGAAGCGUCUCGUCCGAGGUCGUCCUCCUCCUCAUCGCCGUGCUCCUUCUGUGCCCGAGCCUAGUCCAGGGUCGACCAAUGUUGCAAAAUCCAAGCUCUCCUCAGAUCAAUUUAGAGAGUUGCAAGCAUACAUUAGUCGUUUGUCUACCCAGGAUGAUGCUUCUACUUUUGAGGGGGCUAAGUUAGCCCAGGCCCUAGUUGCUACUAGUGAUCAAGGACUUGGGGACGGGGCAGAAGAUUGGGAUUGGUUCGGUUAUUGAUGGUCUCUACAGACUGCCCGUACAAGUUGCUUCUGCUUUGAUUUCAGCCACCAGUGGACAGUUGCCUGGCAUGGAGGACAGAUCCAUCAUUAUGCGUUGGCACGAGAGACUUGGUCAUCUUCCAUUCCCGUUGCUUAAAAAGUUGUUUCCUAGGAUGUUUCAUUCUGUUUCUUUGGACACCUUCGCCUGUGAAGUGUGUCAGUUGUCUAAACAUGUUAGGGCCUCGUACCCUAUUUCAUUCAAUAAAGCCGACCGUCCUUUUGCUUUGGUUCA